rnacentral:rRNA from 1 species
GACGAACGCUGGCGGCGUGCCUAAUACAUGCAAGUAGAACGCACAGUUUAUACCGUAGCUUGCUACACCAUAGACGGUGAGUUGCGAACGGGUGAGUAACGCGUAGGUAACCUGCCUGGUAGCGGGGGAUAACUAUUGGAAACGAUAGCUAAUACCGCAUAAUAUUGAUUAUUGCAUGAUAAUUAAUUGAAAGGUGCAAUUUCACCACUACCAGAUGGACCUGCGUUGUAUUAGCUAGUAGGAGAGGUAACGGCUCACCUAGGCGACGAUACAUAGCCGACCUUAGAAGGUGGUCGGCCACACUGGGAAUGGGACACGGCCCAGACUCCUACGGGAAGCAGCAGUAGGGGAUCUUCGGCAAUGGACGAAAGUCUGACCGAGCAACGCCGGGGGAGUGAAGAAGGUUUUCGGGUCGUAAAGCUCUGUUGUAAGGGAAGAACGGGUGUGAGAGUGGAAAGUUCACACUGUGACGGUAUCUUACCAGAAAGGGACGGCUAACUACGUG